UUUUGGCCUCGUCUAUUCGGUUGCUGACACCAAAUUUCAAGACGGAAGUUUUUCUUCGUGUACUAUGUUGGGUGACAUGAGAUAAGAAGAUGUGGAAAUGUUUGCAUGUUCAACAGAAUUACGGACAAAAAUCUACAGCAGGAAUUCUAUGAAAACCUGGACAGACACAGUUCACGGUUCAUGGACCUUUUUACAACCAGAAGGGGGACUCCUGGUCAGCACUUGUUGAAGUUUUUACAGCAAAUAGAGGACUGCCUAUCAUGCUCGGAGAUGAAGACUCUUCUUUCUUCAAGUCAUGUUUAGAAGCAUCUACAUUUACAUAAAUUCAAAUGUAUAAAUGUCAAUAUAAUGUUGGAUUAGGGUGUCUGAUCAUUGCAACACUAUCCUUGAUGUGCCAAUGGGGCUCUUAUUCGAGGACACCGAUCUUCAGCCCCCCCAACUCCUUGCAUUUGACUUCUUCGAUUGGAAUAAUUCUUGAAGGCCAAGUGGUGAUGGACAAAAUGCAGGACCUCCCACAGGCAAUCUGUCUUCUCUUCGGUCUGAUUUAUGCACUAGACCUGAAUUACACAAAAUCACUUGCCAACUCAUUGAUUUCAUCCAGCAUGUACUAAUGACAAUGGGACAGAAUGCUCUCAAGCCUAGAGUGCAGUCUCUAGCAAACCAGCUUUUUGCUUAAGAAACGUCACUGUGGUACUUUAACACCACCCUCUGUUUUGGGUUUUUCCCCCAUCAAUUUACUCCAUUAUCCAUUUAUGAAGAAUAAAAAGUAUGUUUAAAUAGUUAAAUGCACAGAGUUCUACAACUGAUGUGCAGUAUUUAAUUUGGGAUAUUGUUACCAUUGUUACACCUCUGUAGUGUGGUUGUGACCCGGUAAUAUUUCCAUUACAGUAUAGUUUGUACUGUAAUAUUGUGACAUUUGGGCCAAAGAUAUGUUCAGUAUGUAUUAGUUUAGUUUGAUGUGUUUGCAGAAAGCUUAAAUGGUGAGCUGUAGUAAGACCGUAGUUCUUAUGUUUAGCCUACAUG
ensembl:lncRNA